rnacentral:lncRNA from 10 species
AACUAGUUCAUUUGAAGCCUAGAGGGGAUAAUGGGCUAAUUGGUUCAUACCUCCUAGCACCUACUCUUUCAUUCUUUUUUUUUUUUUUUUUUGAGACGGGGUCUCUGUCGCCCAGGCUGGAGUGCAGUGGCGCCAUCUCGGCUCACUGCAAGCUCCGCCUCCCGAGUUCACGCCAUUCUCCUGCCUCAGCCUCCCGAGUAGCUGGGACUACAGGCGCCCGCCAGCACGCCUGGCUAAUUUUGGGGGGUUUUUUUGUAUUUUUAGUAGAGACGGGGUUUCACCAUGUUAGCCAGGAUGGUCCUGACCUCAUGAUCUGCCUGACCUCGUGAUCUGCCCACCUCGGCCUCCCAAAGUGCUGGGAUUACAAGUGAGCCACCGCGCCUAGCCCUACUCUUUCAUUCUUGAUGAUACUCACAAACAGCUUUCAGUUCAGAUCCUGACUAUAGCAUUGACCUUAUUGACACCUUUCUCCUUGGUCUGAAUGGUGGUUUAAGUAAGAAGCUUUGCAUCGUACAAUUUCCUCUCUAUGAAGAUAGAAGUGGAGUAGCUUAAUCCAGGGAGCCUGGCUGUUCCUGUUAGGUCUCUGCAUAUUGUUCUAUGGUCAUGAUGAACUACCACAGCCACACUGAGGACAUGGGAUGUGAACCUAAGAACAAGCUGCAAAUGGCAGAGCGGAAGAGUGGAGAGAACCUGUGUCCUUGAUCUCAUCUUUGAGCUGUUGAAUUAAGCAGCUCCAGAAUCCCCUCUCUUCUAAAAUUGUAAUGAGGGGUAUUAUAA